AGUCGAACGGUCCUUUCGGGGAUAGUGGCGGACGGGUGAGUAACGCGUGAGAAUCUGCCCUUUGGUUGGGGAUAACGUUUGGAAACGAACGCUAAUACCCGAUGAGCCGAGAGGUAAAAGCUUUAGUGCCAAGGGAUGAGCUCGCGUCAGAUUAGGUAGUUGGUUAGGUAAAGGCUGACCAAGCCUGUGAUCUGUAGCUGGUCUGAGAGGAUGAUCAGCCACACUGGGACUGAGACACGGCCCAGACUCCUACGGGAGGCAGCAGUGGGGAAUUUUCCGCAAUGGGCGAAAGCCUGACGGAGCAAGACCGCGUGGGGGAGGAAGGUUUGUGGACUGUAAACCCCUUUUAUCAGAGAAGAAGAGCUGACGGUAUCUGAUGAAUCAGCCUCGGCUAACUCCGUGCCAGCAGCCGCGGUAAUACGGAGGAGGCAAGCGUUAUCCGGAAUUAUUGGGCGUAAAGCGUCCGUAGGUGGGUGGAGAAGUCUGCUGUCAAAGCGUGAGGCUUAACCUCAUAAGGGCAGUGGAAACUCUUCGUCUAGAGUGCGACAGGGGCAAGGGGAAUUCCUAGUGUAGCGGUGAAAUGCGUAGAGAUUAGGAAGAACACCGGUGGCGAAAGCGCCUUGCUGGGUCUGCACUGACACUGAGGGACGAAAGCUAGGGGAGCGAAAGGGAUUAGAUACCCCUGUAGUCCUAGCUGCAAACGAUGGGUACUAGGCGUUGUC
rnacentral:rRNA from 1 species